rnacentral:tRNA from 1 species
GUCCAGGGAUGGGAAUCAAACCCACAGUGUUCGGUUUACCGGGCAGAUGCCAUGUCCACUAAGCUUACCCUGGA